rnacentral:rRNA from 1 species
AUACAGAGGGUGCGAGCGUUGUUCGGAAUUAUUGGGCGUAAAGCGCGAGUAGGCGGUUUCCUAAGUCGUCUGUGAAAGCCCCCGGCUCAACCGGGGAAGUGCGGGCGAAACUGGGUGACUUGAGUCCUGGAGAGGGUCGCGGAAUUCCCGGUGUAGAGGUGAAAUUCGUAGAUAUCGGGAGGAACACCAGAGGCGAAGGCGGCGACCUGGAAAGUGACUGACGCUGAGAAGCGAAAGCGUGGGGAGCAAACAGGAUUAGAUACCCUGGUAGUCCACGCCGUAAACGAUGAGUACUAGCUGUGGCGGGUGUUGACCCCUGCCGUGGCGCAGCUAACGCACUAAGUACUCCGCCUGGGAAGUACGGCCGCAAGGCUAAA